rnacentral:rRNA from 1 species
UACGUAGGGUGCAAGCGUUGUCCGGAAUUAUUGGGCGUAAAGAGCUCGUAGGCGGUCUGUCGCGUCGGCUGUGAAAACCCGGGGCUCAACCCCGGGCCUGCAGUCGAUACGGGCAGACUAGAGUGUGGUAGGGGAGACUGGAAUUCCUGGUGUAGCGGUGAAAUGCGCAGAUAUCAGGAGGAACACCGAUGGCGAAGGCAGGUCUCUGGGCCAUUACUGACGCUGAGAAGCGAAAGCAUGGGGAGCAAACAGG